rnacentral:lncRNA from 1 species
AGGAGAUGGUACGCAACCUUUAAUAGCUUUUGUGUCAUAGAUUUACUUUCAUAAAUCUUUAGAGAAAAAGCAAUGGAUAUAUUGAUAGCCAGUCGAUUUCCUCAUGAGCAUGCCAAAGGAGACAACUUUUGAAUUAUAACCUAAACUUUCUUCGUGGGAAAAAGAAAAAUUCUUUUGCUUGAUUACUAGGAUGGGAUAGAAUACAACAGAAUGAUUAAAAAAAAAAAAAGGAUAAGGGC